UGGGGAAUAUUGGACAAUGGGCGCAAGCCUGAUCCAGCCAUGCCGCGUGAGAGAUGAAGGCCCUAGGGUUGUAAAGCUCUUUCACCGGUGAAGAUAAUGACGGUAACCGGAGAAGAAGCCCCGGCUAACUUCGUGCCAGCAGCCGCGGUAAUACGAAGGGGGCUAGCGUUGUUCGGAUUUACUGGGCGUAAAGCGCACGUAGGCGGACUAUUAAGUCAGGGGUGAAAUCCCGGGGCUCAACCCCGGAACUGCCUUUGAUACUGGUAGUCUUGAGUUCGAGAGAGGGGAGUGGAAUUCCGAGUGUAGGGGUGAAAUUCGUAGAUAUUCGGAGGAAAACCAGUGGCGAAGACGGCUCACUGGCUCGAUACUGACGCUGAGAUGCGAAAGCGUGGGGAGCAAACAGG
rnacentral:rRNA from 1 species